UACAGAGGUCUCAAGCGUUGUUCGGAUUCAUUGGGCGUAAAGGGUGUGUAGGUGGCGCGCUAAGUCGGGUGUGAAAUUUCGGAGCUUAACUCCGAAACUGCAUUCGAUACUGGCGUGCUUGAGGACUGGAGAGGAGACUGGAAUUCACGGUGUAGCAGUGAAAUGCGUAGAUAUCGUGAGGAAGGCCAGUGGCGAAGGCGAGUCUCUGGACAGUUCCUGACGCUGAGGCACGAAGGCCAGGGGAGCAAACGGG
rnacentral:rRNA from 1 species